CUUUGUCAUUAUGGGAUAUUGUGUGUAGAUUGUUGAGGGGAAUUUUUUUUUUAAAUAAAUGUUAGAAUAGGGCUGUAAAUGUAACAAAACUUGGAAAAGGUAUUGGUGUCUGAAUACUCUCCGAAGGCGCUGUAGAUUACUAGAAGGUGCAUUUCUUAGUACUAGGUGUCUGAAUACUCUCAGAAGGCGCUGUAGAUUAGUAGAAGGUGCAUUUCUUAGGUCUAGGUGUCUGAAUACUCUCAGAAGGCGCUGUAGAUUAGUAGAAGGUGCAUUUCUUAGGUCUAGGUGUCUGAAUACUCUCCGAUGGCGCUGUAGAUUAGUAGAAGGUGCAUUUCUUAGGUCUAGGUGUCUGAAUACUCUCAGAAGGCGCUGUAGAUUAGUAGAAGGUGCAUUUCUUAGGUCUAGGUGUCUGAAUACUCUCCGAAGGCGCUGUAGAUUAGUAGAAGGUGCAUUUCUUAAUUCUAACCUUGAAACCUCUUGAAUUGUAUCAUUGAGUUAAUUUGAGUACUAGUCUUCCAAGUUAAAGGACAAACGUAAUGACGUUGUUCGGGAUAACAGUGAUAAGAUGUUGACAUGAAAAACAUUGACCACCAUGUGAAUGUUGACAUCAGUAUUAUUCCACCAUGUCAGAGGACUAAAAUAAUGUUCAUUAAUGCAACAUAUUAUCUGAAAAUGAAAUGAAUUUUUGUGACAGUGUUAGCCAUUAUUUGUUUUAACUGUGUUCGUGGAUGUUCAUUAUAUACAUCUAUGUACUG
ensembl:lncRNA